UAGGCUGUGGGCUGCAUUUGGC
rnacentral:miRNA from 1 species